ensembl:lncRNA
CAACGAGUAAAAAAGAACUGCAAUUGAUGUGGGAUGGGAUCUUAUGUUGUACAGCUGUUGUCUCCCUGAGAACCUCACAGUUUACGGGGGCUGCCGAGACCGUCAGUGUUUUUGACAACAUCUGGUAUGGGAUGCAGGCGUCCUAAGGGGCGUGUUAACUGCAGUGCCAGACAGCUGCCUCGGCUUUGAGUUGUUGCUCUCUUACCUGUGGUUUUCUACCUAGGGUGUCUGUUUGACAGUUGAAAACGUGAAGCUUUUUAAAGAACCUUCGGUGUGUUCACUUGGCACGCAGGGAGAGCCUGAUGACGGUGCGGAAGGCAGCUGCCUCCAUUUUUCUCGCUUUCUGUAAGUGGCGCAUCACUCGAUGGGGCCUCUUGUUUUGCCGGUGUCCUCUCGUUGGCCCUCAGAAUUCCAGACGGUGACAGCAGCCAAGUUCCUUCAACCGCCGGCUGAGUAAUGGAUGUGACCCUGAAGGGGUCACCGACCUGAGCCAGGUGCUCAUGAGUAUCUUGUUGCCCGUGUAGGGGGCGCGCGCAUGGCAGAUGACUUCAGUGUUCCCCAGCAUGAAGAAUGGCCAUUCUGGGAACUCAGCAGAAAAGUGUCCACAGUGAACAAAAUGUCUCCUUGUGUGUCAGCGCUCACAGUUUUUGUCAACUCGAAGUCAUUUUCAUCAAUCAAAAUUGAAGACCCCCAGUGGAUGAUCUUUCAUUGAAGAUUCUUGUGGCCAUUGACAGCUACACUCUUAAGAUUCCUGAAAGUGAGUAGGUUUCCUUGUGUUUCGUCCAUUGGUAGGUUCUGCGUUUUAAAGAUUAAAUGAUUUUUCAUAAUAAUAACUGUGGGAUUUCUUAUAUUUUUUAAAAAGAUUUAUUUCUUCAUUUGAAAGGCAGAGUUACAGAGAGAGAGAUCUUCCAUUUGCUGGUUCACUUCCCAAAUGGCCACAAUGGCCAGAGCUAAGCUGAUCCAAAGCCAGGAGCAAGGAGCUUCAUCUGGGUCUCCCACAUGGGUGGCGGGGGUCUGGAUCAGAAGUGGAGCAGCCGGGACUUGAAUGGGUGCCCAUGCAGGAUGCUGGCUCUGCAGGAGGCAGGGUUACCUGCUGUAUCACAGGGCUGGCCCCCAGAUUUCUUGUUGAAAAUUAGGUGCUUCUAAAGCAUCUCAUUAGAGUAACUUUAUUCCAAAGUUAUCUUAAUCUGCCAGCCAGAGAUACUUAAACUUAAAUCGCUUUUCCUGAGAGUAUUUUAAUCCCAUGUAUAAAUACAUGAGAGCAUUUAAGAAAGUUCAUUGAAAAAUGGAAUUAAAAGAUAAGUUUGUUUUGGUGCAAAAUAUUUUUAAAUCUGUACUUAUUUUUUGAAAACCCUUUGUGUGUGUGUGUGUGUGUGUGUGUGUGUGUAUCUGUACCUUGUGUUACAUACAUAAUUAUGUAUCGUGGCAACCAUCUCCUCAGAAACCAUUAGAUACCUGUUUUAGUAAAUAACCAGUAAUACCAAAUUUAAAUUUAUAGAAUGGCACAUGGGGGAAUUCUAAGAAAUUCAUAGAAAAUGUGUAUUAUAAAAUAAGAGUUCAUGGAUUUCUUUUUUGUUUUUAAGAUUUAUUUAUUUAUUUGAAAGAGUUACACAGAGAGAGAGAAAGAGAUCUUCCAUCUGCUCAUUCACUCCUCAGAUGGCCGCAAUGGGUGGAUCUGCACCACUCAAGAGCCAAGAGCUUCCUCUGGGUCU